GAAGACUGGUGCUUGCACUGGUUGGAUUAGUGGCGAACGGGUGAGUAAUACGUGAGUAACCUGCCUUUGACUCUGGGAUAAGCCUGGGAAACUGGGUCUAAUACCGGAUAUGACAAGGAACCGCAUGGUUUUUUGUGGAAAGGGUUUGUACUGGUUUUAGAUGGGCUCACGGCCUAUCAGCUUGUUGGUGGGGUAAUGGCUCACCAAGGCGACGACGGGUAGCCGGCCUGAGAGGGUGACCGGCCACACUGGGACUGAGACACGGCCCAGACUCCUACGGGAGGCAGCAGUGGGGAAUAUUGCACAAUGGGCGCAAGCCUGAUGCAGCGACGCCGCGUGAGGGAUGACGGCCUUCGGGUUGUAAACUCUUUCAGCAGGGAAGAAGCGAAAGUGACGGUACCUGCAGAAGAAGCGCCGGCUAACUACGUGCCAGCAGCCGCGGUAAUACGUAGGGCGCGAGCGUUGUCCGGAAUUAUUGGGCGUAAAGAGCUUGUAGGCGGUUUGUUGCGUCUGCUGUGAAAGACCGGGGCUUAACCCCGGUAUUGCAGUGGGUACGGGCAGACUAGAGUGCAGUAGGGGAGACUGGAAUACCUGGUGUAGCGGUGAAAUGCGCAGAUAUCAGGAGGAACACCGAUGGCGAAGGCAGGUCUCUGGGCUGUAACUGACGCUGAGAAGCGAAAGCAUGGGGAGCGAACAGGAUUAGAUACCCUGGUAGUCCAUGCCGUAAACGUUGGGCACUAGGUGUGGGGGACAUUCCACGUUUUCCGCGCCGUAGUAACGCAUUAAGUGCCCCGCCUGGGGAGUACGGCCGCAAGGCUAAAACUCAAAGGAAUUGACGGGGGCCCGCACAAGCGGCGGAGCAUGCGGAUUAAUUCGAUGCAACGCGAAGAACCUUACCAAGGCUUGACAUAUACUGGACCGCCUCAGAGAUGGGGUUUCCUUCGGGGCUGGUAUACAGGUGGUGCAUGGUUGUCGUCAGCUCGUGUCGUGAGAUGUUGGGUUAAGUCCCGCAACGAGCGCAACCCUCGUUCUAUGUUGCCAGCACGUUAUGGUGGGGACUCAUAGGAGACUGCCGGGGUCAACUCGGAGGAAGGUGGGGAUGACGUCAAAUCAUCAUGCCCCUUAUGUCUUGGGCUUCACGCAUGCUACAAUGGCCGGUACAAAGGGUUGCGAUACUGUGAGGUUGAGCUAAUCCCAAAAAGCCGGUCUCAGUUCGGAUUGGGGUCUGCAACUCGACCCCAUGAAGUCGGAGUCGCUAGUAAUCGCAGAUCAGCAACGCUGCGGUGAAUACGUUCCCGGGCCUUGUACACACCGCCCGUCAAGUCACGAAAGUUGGUAACACCCGAAGCCGAUGGCCUAAC
rnacentral:rRNA from 1 species